GGGUGUGUGUAAGUGGAAGACUUGUGGAUGUCCAGUGACGUCCCGUCUGCGCUGGAGGUUGUCAGCUUCAUCGGCAGAACAUUUGGCGCAGGCGCGGCACUGACAGCUGCUGUCUACUUACUCCGCAAAACGUGUUUAAUAAUGGCCUGGAAAUCUGGAGGAGCCAGCCACGCAGAGCUUGUCAACAACCUCCGCAAAAAUGGCAUUAUUAAGUCCGACAAGGUCUAUGAAGUCAUGCUGGCCACAGACCGAGCCCAUUUCUCCAGGUGUAAUCCCUACAUGGAUUCGCCACAGUCAAUAGGCUAUCAAGCGACCAUCAGCGCCCCACACAUGCACGCCUACGCCCUGGAGCUCCUACAUGACCAGCUGUAUGAGGGGGCCAAAGCUCUAGACGUCGGCUCCGGCAGUGGGAUCCUGUCCGUUUGCUUCGCACGAAUGGUGGGUGCUAAAGGGAAAGUUAUAGGCAUUGAUCACAUCCAAGAGCUGGUGGACGAUUCUGUAACCAAUGUGAAGAAAGACGACCCCAGCUUGAUAACAUCGGGCAGAAUCCGGCUAAUAGUGGGAGACGGGCGAAUGGGCCUUACUGAGGAAGCGCCUUAUGAUGCCAUCCAUGUCGGUGCAGCAGCUCCUAACGUCCCCCAGGCUCUUCUGGACCAGUUGAAGCCCGGCGGCCGGCUGAUUCUGCCCGUCGGCCCGGCGGGGGGGAACCAGAUGCUGGAGCAAUACGACAAGCUGGAGGACGGCAGCACCAAAAUGAAGCCCUUGAUGGGGGUGAUUUAUGUGCCUUUAACAGACAAAGACAAGCAGUGGUCCAGGUGGAAGUGACUUCCUUCUCCCCCUCCUACCCCUCUCUCUCUCCUUCUCACAGUGGCACAGGGAUGAACUUUGAAGAGGAACACCGCCCAUAAUCCACCUUUUUUAAGUUUGAACCUGGAGACGACUCGGAUGGGGUCCAACAGCCCAUGACGGUGAAAGCAUAACAAAACAUGCUCCUUUUUGUUUAAGUCUAACGAUGGACUAGAGUAUCGCGUUGACAGACAGCCGAGGCGGGCUGGGAAGAAAGACUGCUUGAAGCUCAGCACACAAAUAUUGGAGACGGCUUUUUGUUAGAUUUUUCAGACCUGCAUCUUUUUGGUUGCAUUUUCUUUUUAACUGCUGGAUUUUAGAUGUGUGGGGGGUUUUUUUUUUCACCAUUUGAAUUGCAAUCAGCCAUUUUUACAGUAUUACAUUUCAGCAGCAUCAAAGCUGAAUGUAGGAGGGACGCCGGACAAUGACGAAUAACUUGGGUAGCUACAGCGUGUGUGUGGGGGUGCGCGUGUGUGUGAGGAGAUCAUCCAACUGUAGACUUCUCUGCUAACAUAUGAGCUUUUCCCCUGGCAGCAGUAUUAGGAACACACAAUGGCUGAAGUAACCAACACAUCCUGUUAGAUGUGCAGCACUCUUACGUCAUGCUACACAUAGAAUAAGCAACGCAUUGGAUUAUACUGAACACUACUCCAAAGAGAGCCGAGCACUAAUAACACCGACACACGUGCACACUCACGGCUGUGCUUCGUGUUGCAUUUAACAACUUGCGCAGGCAUUUACUAAACGGGUUAGUCACUGCUUUGCCAAAAUAAACUCCCAACAAUAUAAAGCAAAUGAAUGUCUGUUUUGUUCUUGAAAUCAAAAAGCUCAUUUUAUUUUGGUGGUUUGGCUUUCACACUUUCUGGAAUGGCACAUGAAAAUAAAGAGAUGCUUAUGUUU